rnacentral:rRNA from 1 species
ACUCCUACGGGAGGCAGCAGUGGGAAUAUUGCACAAUGGGCGCAAGCCUGAUGCAGCCAUGCCGCGUGUGUGAAGAAGGCCUCGGUUGUGAAUGCAGCUUUACAGUCGUGAGGAAGGUAGUGUAGUUAAUAGCUGCAUUAUUUGACGUUAGCGACAGAAGAAGCACCGGCUAACUCCGUGCCAGUAGCCGCGGUAAUACGGAGGGUGCGAGCGUUAAUCGGAAUUACUGGGCGUAAAGCGCAUGCAGGUGGUUUGUUAAGUCAGAUGUGAAAGCCCGGGCUCAAGCCUCGGAAUUGCAUUUGAAAC